rnacentral:lncRNA from 1 species
UUCCUCAUUUCCUGUUGUUUUCUUGCUAUGGUUUGACUUUUAUGUGUCCUCCACAGAUCUGUGCAUUGCGUGCAUUGCUCCCACUUGAUGGCUCCAUCAUAGGACACUUAGGAGGAGGUGAGACCUAAUUGGAGGAAGUCUGAGAAGUUUAGAAGGCAUUCUAUGCCUUGGAUCUACUGCGUGCAGCAUGGCGAUGCCAGGAUGCCGGUCCAAGCUCCCAAUGCAACACCAGGACUGAUGGGCACAGGAGCAAUUUACAAGUGUCAGCCAUCCUUGCAGGAACGUGCUAUGAGCAUUGAACAGAAUGGAAGACAGUUGAAGGAAUGGAAUGUUAUAUCUGAGUCUAAGGAAGAGAGACGCCCCCCAGGUUUGACUCUAGCUUAAGUCAAGUUGACAUGAAGCUAGCUAACACAAGGGCAUUUGGAGUCAACAGAAUGGCACGACUCCGGGUGUAUCUGGAGUUUCUACGAGAGAAGUUUAACUGAGGAGACAAGGCCCAGCCUGAAUGUGGGAAGCUUCAUCCCAUGGACUGGGCUCCUGGAGGAGGUGAAGAGGGAAAAAGACUGCUGGAUGACCACUGGAAUUCUUCUGUCUCUGUUCCCUGACUACAGAUACAAUGUGACCAACCAGCUGCCUCUUCUUCCCAGGGCCACACCUUCCCCUCCAGGGUGAAUU